UACGUAGGGCGCAAGCGUUGUCCGGAAUUAUUGGGCGUAAAGAGCUCGUAGGCGGUUUGUCGCGUCUGCUGUGAAAACCUAAGGCUCAACCUUGGGCUUGCAGUGGGUACGGGCAGACUAGAGUGCGGUAGGGGUGACUGGAAUUCCUGGUGUAGCGGUGGAAUGCGCAGAUAUCAGGGAGGAACACCGAUGGCGAAGGCAGGUCACUGGGCCGCAACUGGACG
rnacentral:rRNA from 1 species